AUACCAAACAUUUUUCUAAAAAGGAAGAAAAAUACAUAAAAUGUUAUACUACUUUCAUAGCACUAUACUCAUUGACAGAUUCAGAAGUCCCGUGAUAGGGCUAGGAAUAUGGCUCAAGUAGUAGAACAUGACGCCCUGAAUUCAAACCCUAAAAGUAUUGCAGUAAAUAAAAUGGUUUGAUUUGUUUAACCUGAUGAUUAUCAAACUUAUCUGUGUGUGAAACUCCUUCCAAGCCUUCAUGUUAACAGAAGACCAACGAAUUAUCCUUUUGAAAAUUCUAAAAUUCUGUGUGAUGGUUCAUACCACUAAAUAAGAAAGCAGAGCUACAGCUGAAGAGCUUCCUGGAUGUUGUCACGUGAUGUGGCCUUGCCAUAAAACCUAGGUCUAUUCAGAGUCUUCCUAUAAAACAUCUUUGGAGAUAGCUGAGAGAUGGUGAUCUGUGUGCCAGGUUAGCUGUUACCUCUUUUCCCAGGCCUACUGAGGCAAGACAAACAACCUAUCAACUGUGCAGACAACAGCUCAAGCAAUUGCACUGCACACACACACACACACACACACACACACACACACACACACACACCUUUUUCUCUAAUAAGUACUCACCUCUUUGUACUUUGAAUAAAUGUGGAAAUACAAGUGAGCCAAACAUUAGUAACCCUAU